rnacentral:rRNA from 1 species
AACGAACGUUCGCGGCGCGCUUAACACAUGCAAGUCGAACGAGAAAGCAUUUUCGGAUGUGAGUAAAGUGGCGCACGGGUGAGUAACACGUGGGUAAUCUACCCAGUGGUGGGGGACAACACCUUGAAAAGGGUGCUAAUACCGCAUAAGUCGGCUUCGGCCGGGAAAGGUGCUUCGGUACCGCCACUGGAUGAGCUCGCGUCCCAUCAGCUAGUUGGUAGGGUAAAGGCCUACCAAGGCAUCGACGGGUAGCUGGUCUGAGAGGAUGAUCAGCCACACUGGAACUGAGACACGGUCCAGACUCCUACGGGAGGCAGCAGUGGGGAAUAUUGCGCAAUGGGCGAAAGCCUGACGCAGCGACGCCGCGUGGGUGAUGAAGGUUUUCGGAUCGUAAAGCCCUGUGGGAGAGGAAAGAAUAACCUACGGUAACGCGUAGGCCUGACGGUACCUCUCCAGAAAGCACCGGCUAACUCCG